UGGGGAAUAUUGCGCAAUGGGCGAAAGCCUGACGCAGCGACGCCGCGUGGGUGAUGAAGGCCUUCGGGUCGUAAAACCCUGUCGGGUGGAACGAAUUCCCGCCUCGCUAAUACCGAGGUGGCUUGACGGUACCACCGAAGGAAGCCCCGGCUAACUACGUGCCAGCAGCCGCGGUAAUACGUAGGGGGCGAGCGUUGUUCGGAUUUACUGGGCGUAAAGAGCGCGUAGGCGGUUCGAUUAGUCGGAGGUGAAAUCCCUCGGCUUAACCGAGGACCCGCGUCCGAUACUGUCGAACUUGAGUGCAGGAGAGGAGAGCGGAAUUCCCAGUGUAGCGGUGAAAUGCGUAGAUAUUGGGAGGAACACCGGUGGCGAAGGCGGCUCUCUGGACUGUCACUGACGCUGAGGCGCGAAAGCUAGGGGAGCAAACGGGAUUAGAUACCCCGGUAGUCCUAGCCGUAAACGAUGGGCACUAGGUGUGGGAGGUAUCGACCCCUUCCGUGCCGCAGCUAACGCAUUAAGUGCCCCGCCUGGGGAGUACGGCCGCAAGGUUG
rnacentral:rRNA from 1 species